rnacentral:tRNA from 1 species
GUCUAUGUAGUAUACUAAUUACACUGGUCUUGUAAACCAGAAAUGGGGAGUAAACCUCCCCCAAAGACU